rnacentral:rRNA from 1 species
AUAAUAUGUGAAUUGCAGAAUUCAGUGAAUCAUCGAAUCUUUGAACGCACCUUGCGCUCCUUGGUAUUCCGAGGAGCAUGCCUGUUUGAGUGUCAUGGUACUCUCAAUUCUUUACAUUUUCGAUGUGAAUGAAUUGGAUGUGGAGGUCUGCCGGUGUUUAUCAUCGGCUCCUCUUAAAUGUAUUAGCGCGAAUGUUUACCAAACGUUCCUCAGUGUGAUAAUUGUCUACGCUGUGGUAGUGAGGUUUCAUUAAGUUCGUGCUUCUAACCGUCCUUCAAUGGACAAUAACUUUGACAUCUGACCUCAAAUCAGGUAGGACUACCCGCUGAACUUAAGCAUAUCAAUAAGCGGAGGAAAAGAAACUAACAAGGAUUCCCCUAGUAACUGCGAGUGAAGCGGGAAAAGCUCAAAUUUAAAAUCUGGCGGUCUUUGGCUGUCCGAGUUGUAGUCUGGAGAAGUGUUUUCCGCGCUGGACCGUGUACAAGUCUCUUGGAAUAGAGCGUCAUAGAGGGUGAGAAUCCCGUCUUUGACACGGACUACCAGUGCUUUGUGAUGCGCUCUCAAAGAGUCGAGUUGUUUGGGAAUGCAGCUCAAAAUGGGAGGUAAAUUCCUUCUAAAGCUAAAUAUUGGCGAGAGACCGAUAGCGAACAAGUACCGUGAGGGAAAGAUGAAAAGCACUUUGGAAAGAGAGUUAAACAGUGACGUGAAAUUGCUAAAAGGGAAACGAUUGAAGUCAGUCGCGUCAUUCAGAACUCAGCCUGGCUUUUGCUUGGUGCACUUUCUGUUUGACGGGCCAGCAUCAAUUUUGACCGUUGGAUAAAGGCUUUGGGAAUGUGGCAUCUUCGGAUGUGUUAUAGCCCAUUGUUGCAUACACCGGUUGGGAUUGAGGAUCACAGCAUGCCUUUAUGGUCGGGGUUCGCCCACGUUCAUGCUUAGGAUGCUGGCGUAAUGGCUUUAAACGACCNGUCUUGAAACACGGACCAAGGAGUCUAACAUGCCUGCGAGUGUUUGGGUGGAAAACCCGAGCGCGUAAUGAAAGUGAUAGUUGGGAUCCCUGUCGUGGGGAGCACCGACGCCCGGACCAGACCUUUUGUGACGGAUCCGCGGUAGAGCAUGUAUGUUGGGACCCGAAAGAUGGUGAACUAUGCCUGAAUAGGGUGAAGCCAGAGGAAACUCUGGUGGAGGCUCGUAGCGAUUCUGACGUGCAAAUCGAUCGUCAAAUUUGGGUAUAGGGCGAAGACUAAUCGAACCAUCUAGUAGCUG